rnacentral:lncRNA from 1 species
AGGGCUGCACCCACAGCAUAUGGAGUUUCCCAGGCUAGGGGUCUAAUCGGAGCUGUUGCUGCCGGCCUACGCUGAGGCCAAGCAAUGCGGGAUCCAAGCCGUGUCUGAGACCUACACCACAGCUCAUGGCAACGCCCAAUCCUUAACCCAUUGAGCAAGGCCAGGGAUCGAACCUGCAACCUCAUGGUUCCUAGUUGGAUUCAUUAACCACAGCGCCUUGAGGGAAACUCCAAGACCCACCUUCUAAUGCUCUCACAAAGGAAAUUAGGUUUCAACAUAUGAAUUUGGGGGGCACACAAAAGUUCAGGGCUUGUGAAGCCACCUCAGAUAUUCCCUUCCUCACAGAUUUAUGCUAGAGGCCACUUGCCUUGGCAACCUGUUGAGGUGGUGUCAACUAAAAAGGCCCAGGUCCAGUCGCCUUCCCCUGGUGACACUCAUUGCUGCCAUGCCCAAUAGUGGGAGGCCCAGCUGCUCCCAGCCUUUCCUCUCAGCUCUGACAACACACUCUUCUUUCUCCCCUUCUUGGGGCAUCAGGUUCUCUGCAGAAGAGGUGGUUACCAUCCCUGGGGCUGGGAGCAGUAAAGGAAGAAAGACUCUCUCUUCCUCACCAGAAUAUCCUCAAGGCCAGCCUUUUUUGAUUAGGUUCCUUUGGUUUAUUUUCGCUCUUAUUUCUGUUGCCUUGGGAGAAUGACCUGAGAAAAUAUUCACAAGGUUGAUGUCAGAGAAUGUUUUGCCUAUGUUCUCUUCCAGGAGUUUGAUGGUGUCUUAUUUAAGUCUUUGAUGGUGUCUUAUUUAAGUCUUUCAGCUAUUUUGAGUUUAUUUUUGUGCAUGGUGUGAGGGUAUGUUCUAAUUUCAUUGCUUUGCAUGCAGCCGUCCAGGUGUCCCAGCAAUUCUUGCUGAAUAGACUUUCUUUUUUUUUUUUUGUCUUUUUGCCUUUAGGGCUGCUUCCGUGGCAUAUGGAGGCUCCCAGGCUAGGGGUCGAAUCGGAGCUGUAGCCGCCAGCCCUACACCACAGCCACAGCCACACGGGAUCCGAGCCACGUCUGUGACCUACAGCUCAGCUCAUGGCAACACCAGCUCCUUAACCCACUGAAGUGAAUACAAAGGAUUUAAUUAUAUUUUCCAACAGGCAAACUGAUUACAGAUUGAAAGGAGAGACUGAGUACAUAUGUUAACAGAACAGUGCAGAAAACAAAUAUACAGAACAAUUACAGUACCAUGUGCUCUAUAUUAAGUCCAUUUUGCAGAAAAAGGAAAAAAAGCACAUUUAUUUAAGUGGCAUGAGCCUAGAUGUCUUCACUCCCAGAUUUGUCCAUGCUUUAAAAUUAUUUUUUGUUUUGAAAUAACUUACAGAAGAGUUGCAAAGUUAGUACAGUGAGUUCCUGUAUACCUUUCACCCAGCUUCCCCCAGUAUUAACUAUAAAACCACGGUACAUUUAAAAAAACCAAGAAAUUAAUAUUGAUACUAUUAACUAAAAUAUGGGAUAACCCUCAAGGACCUACUUACUAUAUAGCACAGGGAGUUAUACUCAAUAUACAUAUUUUUUGGUCUUUUUUUAGGGCCGAGGUUCUCAGGCUAGGGGUCAAAUCAGAACUGUAGCUGCUUGCCUCCGCCACAGCCACAGCCAAAGCAACACUAGAUCCCAGCCGUGUCUGCGACCUACACCACAGCUCACAGCAACGCAGGAUCAUGGGAACCCAUUGAGCGGGGCCAGGGAU